UACGUAGGGUGCGAGCGUUAAUCGGAAUUACUGGGCGUAAAGAGCUCGUAGGUGGUUUGUCGCGUCGUCUGUGAAAUUCCGGGGCUUAACUCCGGGCGUGCAGGCGAUACGGGCAUAACUUGAGUACUGUAGGGGAGACUGGAAUUCCUGGUGUAGCGGUGAAAUGCGCAGAUAUCAGGAGGAACACCGGUGGCGAAGGCGGGUCUCUGGGCAGUAACUGACGCUGAGGAGCGAAAGCAUGGGGAGCGAACAGGAUUAGAAACCCGGGUAGU
rnacentral:rRNA from 1 species